CAUCAAUAAAAAUGUUAUAUAAACAACAACAACAAAAGAAGUAAAAGGUAACCCAACUAGAAAAUGGAUGAAGACUUUGACCAGGGGCAAGUCCGUGUGGCCGGAUCACACUUGUCCCUCAUGGCCUGAAACAGAUUUCAGAUGGAAACUCCUAGAAGCGAUUGCAGACUGGAGCCCUCACUUCAGAAGAGACAUUUUGUCAAUAGGCUCUAAACUUUCUGGGAAUUCAGAGCUGUCUGAUUUGUUGGUACUGAUUUCGACACAACGGAUUAUAUUUUAUCUAAACUUAUCAUAUACUAAGUGCUCCUGAUGUUCCUGAUAAAAAUGAAGAUGAACAAAACCUCAGAGGUUUAUUUUCCCCUCCUUCCUCUCUAACACAGAAAAAGAAAAACCUACAUUAGGCAUUAGAGGCUUAAAAUGAUUGUUAGAAAUUAUCAGUCACUUUGCUUUUAUAAGUCAUCCCUAGCAUGCCUUUCUAUGACUAUACUUCCUCCUCAUCUGUCA